rnacentral:lncRNA from 1 species
GAGGGAGGGGCCGCAGCCCCCCCCCAAAAUACAGAAUUCGGCGCCCCCUUUUUGGGGGGACCCCAAAAAUCCAAAUCCCCCCUCUCUGUCGGGUGAGAGGAGGAAAAUUCCCGAAGGAAUUCCCGAGGGAAUUCCCGGGAUCGGGGGAAUCCUGGGAAAACCCCGGGGGAGGGAGCAGGGCCGGGUCUGUCCCUUUAAAUUCGGAAUUUUAUAUUUUUUUAUCCAUUAAUUUUAAUUUUUUUUAUUUAAUUAAUAAUAAUAAAUAAAAACCUCGAGGCUUUAAAAAAAAAAAAUAAACCCCAAAAAAACCCGCCAGGAAUCAAAGGAGGAAGGGAAAAAAAUGAUUUAAAAAUUAAUGAGUGAGCCCCAGGAAUUAAUUAAGAAUUAAUUAAAACUUAAUUAAGCCGAGGAGGAAAAUUGGGGGGUCCCCUGGCAGUGAGCAGAGCUGGGAGGUAGCGCUGGGUUGGCCCCACCACCCCCAGUUUGGGGAACCCCCCAUACCCUAAUUUGGGGACCCCCACCCUAAUUUGGGGACCCCCCCCCCACUUUGGGGACCCCCCCAGUUUGGGGACGUCACCCAUGGGACCCCCAUUUUUGGGACCAUCCCCAUUUUGGGGACCUUCUCCUUUUUGGGGACCCCCUUCAUGGGACCCUUCAUUUUGGGGACCAUCCCCACCUUGGUGACCCCAAUUUUGGGGACCCCCCCCCAUUUUGGGGACCAUCCCCACCUUGGUGACCCCCCCAUUUUGGGGACUUUUAAUGGGACCCCCCCAUUUUGGGGACCCCCACUCUAAUUUGGGGACCCCCCCACUUUGGGGACCCCCCAGUUUAGGGACAUCACGCAUGGGACCCCCAUUUUGGGGACCGUCCCCAUUUUGGGGACCCCCCCAUUUUGGGGACCUUCAAUGGAAUCUCCCAUUUUGGGGACGUUCUCCACCUUGGUGACCCCAUUUCGGGGAUCUCCUACCCACGGUACCCCCAUUUUGGGGACCCUCAUUUUGGGGACCCUCCAUGGAACCCCCUCCCCAAAUUUGGGGAACCCCCCCAGUUUGGGGACAUCACCCAUGGGACCCCCAUUUUGGGAACCGUCCUCAAUUUGGGGGCCCCCUCAUGGGACCCUCCAUUUUGGGGACCUUCUCCACUUAGGGGACCCCCAGUUUGGGGACUUCCCACCCAUGGGACCCCAAUGGGACCCCCCAUUUUGGAGACCGUCCCCACCUUGGUGACCCCUCCCAUUUUGGGGACCUUCUCCAUUUUGGGGACCCUUUAGGCCUUGGGGACCCCCCCUCAUUUUGGGGAC